rnacentral:tRNA from 1 species
GGGAUAUUAGCUCAGUUGGUAGAGCACUUGACUUUUAAUCAAGUUGUCCGGGGUUCGAAUCCCCGAUGCCUCA